AGAAAUACAAAGAUUAAGACAUGCUUUAUACAGGAAUUGCUUAGAGAGUUGUCGUUUGGUGAAAGACAAACAUGACAUGUAUAAAGAUAUCACUUAGGAGUAGCUUAUCUGAAUCAAGUAAGAUAAGACGUAGCAACGACGUUACCGUUAAUGAAGCGCAUGUAUGUAAAUACAUGAAGUAAGGUGGUACCGCGUAAUCACGUCCUUAUA
rnacentral:ncRNA from 1 species